UACGUAGGGACCAAGCGUUGUUCGGAUUUACUGGGCGUAAAGGGCGCGUAGGCGGCAAUUCAAGUCAUCUGUGAAAUCUCCGGGCUUAACCCGGAAAGGUCAGAUGAUACUGCUUUGCUAGAGUGCGGAAGGGGCAAUCGGAAUUCUUGGUGUAGCGGUGAAAUGCGUAGAUAUCGGGAAGAACACCCGUGGCGAAGGCGGUUCUCUGGGACGGUACUGACGCUGAGACGCGAAAGCGUGGGGAGCGAACAGG
rnacentral:rRNA from 1 species